rnacentral:rRNA from 1 species
CUUAUGCGUUGUUGGGUAGGGGAGCGUUCUGUAAGCCUGCGAAGGUGGCCUGUGAGGGUUGCUGGAGGUAUCAGAAGUGCGAAUGCUGACAUAAGUAACGAUAAAGCGGGUGAAAAGCCCGCUCGCCGGAAGACCAAGGGUUCCUGUCCAACGUUAAUCGGGGCAGGGUGAGUCGACCCCUAAGGCGAGGCCGAAAGGCGUAGUCGAUGGGAAACGGGUUAAUAUUCCCGUACUUGGUGUUACUGCGAAGGGGGGACGGAGAAGGCUAUGUUGGCCGGGCGACGGUUGUCCCGGUUUAAGCGUGUAGGUGUGUGUUCCAGGUAAAUCCGGUUCACUUUAACACUGAGGCGUGACGACGAGGCACUACGGUGCUGAAGCAACAAAUGCCCUGCUUCCAGGAAAAGCCUCUAAGCAUCAGGUAACAUCAAAUCGUACCCCAAACCGACACAGGUGGUCAGGUAGAGAAUACCAAGGCGCUUGAGAGAACUCGGGUGAAGGAACUAGGCAAAAUGGUGCCGUAACUUCGGGAGAAGGCACGCUGACACGUAGGUGAAGUGAUUUACUCAUGGAGCUGAAGUCAGUCGAAGAUACCAGCUGGCUGCAACUGUUUAUUAAAAACACAGCACUGUGCAAACACGAAAGUGGACGUAUACGGUGUGACGCCUGCCCGGUGCCGGAAGGUUAAUUGAUGGGGUCAGCGCAAGCGAAGCUCCUGAUCGAAGCCCCGGUAAACGGCGGCCGUAACUAUAACGGUCCUAAGGUAGCGAAAUUCCUUGUCGGGUAAGUUCCGACCUGCACGAAUGGCGUAAUGAUGGCCAGGCUGUCUCCACCCGAGACUCAGUGAAAUUGAACUCGCUGUGAAGAUGCAGUGUACCCGCGGCAAGACGGAAAGACCCCGUGAACCUUUACUAUAGCUUGACACUGAACAUUGAGCCUUGAUGUGUAGGAUAGGUGGGAGGCUUUGAAGUGUGGACGCCAGUCUGCAUGGAGCCGACCUUGAAAUACCACCCUUUAAUGUUUGAUGUUCUAACGUGGACCCGUUACCCGGGUUGCGGACAGUGUCUGGUGGGUAGUUUGACUGGGGCGGUCUCCUCCUAAAGAGUAACGGAGGAGCACGAAGGUUGGCUAAUCCUGGUCGGACAUCAGGAGGUUAGUGCAAUGGCAUAAGCCAGCUUGACUGCGAGCGUGACGGCGCGAGCAGGUGCGAAAGCAGGUCAUAGUGAUCCGGUGGUUCUGAAUGGAAGGGCCAUCGCUCAACGGAUAAAAGGUACUCCGGGGAUAACAGGCUGAUACCGCCCAAGAGUUCAUAUCGACGGCGGUGUUUGGCACCUCGAUGUCGGCUCAUCACAUCCUGGGGCUGAAGUAGGUCCCAAGGGUAUGGCUGUUCGCCAUUUAAAGUGGUACGCGAGCUGGGUUUAGAACGUCGUGAGACAGUUCGGUCCCUAUCUGCCGUGGGCGCUGGAGAACUGAGGGGGGCUGCUCCUAGUACGAGAGGACCGGAGUGGACGCAUCACUGGUGUUCGGGUUGUCAUGCCAAUGGCACUGCCCGGUAGCUAAAUGCGGAAGAGAUAAGUGCUGAAAGCAUCUAAGCACGAAACUUGCCCCGAGAUGAGUUCUCCCUGAGACUUAAAGU